rnacentral:rRNA from 1 species
CAGCCGCCACGGUAAUACAGAGGAUGCAAGCGUUAUCCGGAAUGAUUGGGCGUAAAGCGUCUGUAGGUGGCUUUUCAAGUCCGCCGUCAAAUCCCAGGGCUCAACCCUGGACAGGCGGUGGAAACUACCAAGCUGGAGUACGGUAGGAGCAGAGGGAGUUUCUGGUGGAGCGGUGAAAUGCGUUGAGAUCGGAAAGAACACCAACGGCGAAAGCAGUCUGCUGGGACGACACUGACACUGAGAGACGAAAGCUAGGGGAGCAAAUGGGAUUAGAUACCCCAGUAGUCCCUGUCUCUUAUAA